ACCCCGCACAAGCAGCGGAGCGUGUGGUUUUAAUUCGUUUGCUACACGAAGAACCUUACCUGGGUUUUGACAUAUAGGUUGUAGGGAACUGAAAAGGGACCGACCCUUCGGGGAGCCUAUACAGGUGUUGCAUGGCUGUCGUCAGCUCGUGUCGUGAGAUGUUCGGUUAAGUCCGCUAACGAGCGCAACCCUCGUCGUAUGUUAUAUGUGUCAUACGAGACUGCCGGUAAAAGCCGGAGGAAGGUGAGGAUGAUGUCAAGUCAGCAUGACCUUUAUAUCCAGGGCUACACACACGCUACAAUGGUCUGUACAAUGGGUAGCCAAGCCGCGAGGCGGAGCCAAUCCUGAAAGCAGGCCUCAGUUCAGAUUGCAGUCUGCAACUCGACUGCAUGAAGCCGGAGUUGCUAGUAACCGCAGGUCAGCAAUACUGCGGUGAAUACGUUCCCGGGUCUU
rnacentral:rRNA from 1 species